ensembl:lncRNA
CACGAAAGUAAACAACAACAAGUCAGAGCGGUGAGGAGCAAUGACCCCCGUCGGCCAGAGCGUCCGCCGACACAGUGUCACUCCAAGGCCUCUGGAAAACUAGAAAUAGAUGAUAGACAGGUUGAUGGACACAGAUGUUGAUGGACACAGAGGUUGAUAGACAGGGAGGUUGAACCGAUCGGUGGCGGUUAAGUAGAUGGACAGGCAGUAGAGGGACAGGCAGUAGAUGGACAGGCAGUAGAGGGACAGGCAGUAGAGGGACAGGCAGUAGAUGGACAGGCAGUAGAUGGACAGGCAGUAGAGGGACAGGCAGUAGAUGGACAGGCGGUAGAGGGACAGGCAGUAGAGGGACAG